UGGGGAAUUUUGGACAAUGGGCGAAAGCCUGAUCCAGCAAUGCCGCGUGUGUGAAGAAGGCCUUCGGGUUGUAAAGCACUUUUGUCCGGAAAGAAAUCCUUGGCUCUAAUACAGUCGGGGGAUGACGGUACCGGAAGAAUAAGCACCGGCUAACUACGUGCCAGCAGCCGCGGUAAUACGUAGGGUGCAAGCGUUAAUCGGAAUUACUGGGCGUAAAGCGUGCGCAGGCGGUUUGCUAAGACCGAUGUGAAAUCCCCGGGCUCAACCUGGGAACUGCAUUGGUGACUGGCAGGCUAGAGUAUGGCAGAGGGGGGUAGAAUUCCACGUGUAGCAGUGAAAUGCGUAGAGAUGUGGAGGAAUACCGAUGGCGAAGGCAGCCCCCUGGGCCAAAUACUGACUCCAUGCAAUGCCGAAACGGCAAGCGGGUGGAGCCAAAACAAGGAUUAGAUACCCUGGUAGUCCACGCCCUAAACGAUGUCAACUAGUUGUUGGGGAUUCAUUUCCUUAGUAACGUAGCUAACGCGUGAAGUUGACCGCCUGGGGAGUACGGUCGCAAGAUUAAAACUC
rnacentral:rRNA from 1 species